rnacentral:rRNA from 1 species
CCUACGGGUGGCAGCAGUGGGGAAUAUUGCGCAAUGGGCGAAAGCCUGACGCAGCGACGCCGCGUGAGGGAUGAAGGUCUUCGGAUCGUAAACCUCUGUCAGCAGGGAAGAACGGUCACUGUGCUAAUCAGCAGUGAAUUGACGGUACCUGCAACGGAAGCACCGGCUAACUCCGUGCCAACAGCCGCGGUAAUACGGAGGGUGCGAGCGUUAAUCGGAAUUACUGGGCGUAAAGCGCUCGUAGGCGGUAUGUCAAGGCAAGGGUGAAAUCCCCGGGCUAAAGGUGGGAACUGCCUUUGAAACUGGCAAACUGGAGUGUGUGAGAGGAUAGUGGAAUUCCAGGUGUAGGAGUGAAAUGCGUAGAUAUCUGGAGGAACAACAGUGGCGAAGGCGACUAUCUGGCACAUAACUGACGCUGAGGAGCGAAAGCGUGGGUAGCAAACAGGAUUAGAUACCCUGGUAGUC